AGGAAAAUGAAGAAUGUGGAGUUUAUAAUGCACUUUGCAAUCACAACACGUGUCAAUGUAGGAGUGGUCAUUAUGGAUUUGAUGGGAAUUGCAUCAGAGAAAACGUUUCGUUUGCAUGGCCAUGCCUAAUCAACAGACAGUGUGAGUGGUUUGGAGGAACGUGUAAAAAUGGCGGAUGUGGAUGUCCUUAUGGUCAUUACCUUUGGAACGACACAUGCAUAAAAAAAAACAUUACAUUUGGAUCAGCAUGCCUGACCAACAGUCAAUGUCGUGCAUUUGGAGGAACAUGUCAAAAUGGCCAAUGUAGAUGUCCUUACGGAUAUUUCUUAUUGAACAACAGAUGUACAGUAG